GAUCAUAGCCAGUGUCCAGGGA
rnacentral:miRNA from 1 species